GCCGGAGUGGCGGAAUGGCAGACGCAGUUGACUCAAAAUCAACCGGGGUUUCCUCGUGGGGGUUCGAGUCCCUUCUCCGGCACCA
rnacentral:tRNA from 1 species